GGGGGCAUAGCUCAGCUGGGAGAGCAACAGACUGAAGUGAAAUGCUUGCGCUGCUCUUCUGGAGGUCCCCAGUUCAAUCCUGGGUGUCCCUA